CAGGUGCUGUACAAACAUGGACUGUCCAUCCCCCAAACCGUUCACAAAGUCUUUUGCUUCGAAUGGGUACUGAAGUCAUUAAAGCAUACAAGCCCUUUGACAAGAGUUUCUUUAGAGGAUGUAGGACUACUUAUUUCUCAUCCAGAAAGCAAUGAAGAGCAAGGAAAGCAACACAGUGGAGGGAACUAUGUAAAGUCGCACUGGACAAACCCAGCCUGUGAGGCCACAGGAGCUCUGGGAGUGCAAUAUCAUUUCAUCACAAGCUGAGGACCAUGCUCUCGGCUGGGUUCUGGAGCUGAUUGCCAGACAGAGGAUGAUACAACCCUGAGACGCUAAUUACAACUGAGCUUUUCCAGACUUUACAGUCCCCUGUGGAUGAAAAAUGAUAAAAAAGAUUCUCCAGGGAUGCCUGCCUGGUAUUAGGAAGGUGUCCUUUCCAUAUUGCCAGUCUCCUAAUGACUUGCUCCAGUGUGAGGUGUUGUGUAAUCACUGGGAAAAGAGAAAGAAAAAGUAAAAAAACAGAGCUAGAACUAAACUUCCUCAUUGGGAGCGUGGUACAACACCAGAACAUGGCAGCCAGAGAAGUGGUGGGAUUUUCUAUCCUUGAAAGUUUUCAAGAAUCAUCUGUAGGAAACCAUGGCUGACCUUAUCUAGUGUCUAUCAUAAUCCAGCUUGGAGCAGGAGGUCGGCCUAGAGACCUACAGAGAUCCCUUUCAACCGUUAUUUCCAUGAUUUUACAUUUCUGGUAAGUGUGUUCAGUAACUUAGUCAGCAG
rnacentral:lncRNA from 1 species